rnacentral:rRNA from 1 species
CAGCACCUCAAGUGGUCAGGAUGAUUAUUGGGCCUAAAGCAUCCGUAGCCUGCUUUGUCAGUUUUCGGUUAAAUCCAUACGCUCAACGUAUGGGCUGCCGGGAAUACUGCAAAGCCAGGGAGUGGGAGAGGUAGACGGUACUCGGUAGGAAGGGGUAAAAUCCUUUGAUCUAUUGAUGACCACCUGUGGCGAAGGCGGUCUACCAGAACACGUCCGACGGUGAGGGAUGAAAGCUGGGGGAGCAAACCGGAUUAGAUACCCGAGUAGUCC